rnacentral:rRNA from 1 species
UACGUAGGGUGCGAGCGUUGUCCGGAAUUAUUGGGCGUAAAGAGCUCGUAGGCGGUCUGUCGCGUCGAUCGUGAAAACUUGGGGGCUUAACCCUGAGCUUGCGGUCGAUACGGGCAUGACUGGAGUUCGGCAGGGGGAGACUGGAAUUCCUGGUGUAGCGGUGAAAUGCGCAGAUAUCAGGAGGAACACCGAUGGCGAAGGCAGGUCUCUGGGCCACUACUGACGCUGAGAAGCGAAAGCAUGGGGAGCGAACAGG